GACGAACGCUGGCGGCGUGCUUAACACAUGCAAGUCGAACGGAAAGUCCCUGAUUUUGAGUUGGGCUGGAUUGGCGAACUGGUGAUUAACGAGGGAGUAACCUCCCCUGGACUUUGUGAUAACUACAGGAAACUAGGAGUAAGACCGGAUAGGUACUCCUGCUGCAGCGUGGGGGUCUGCAAGGUUCGGCGGGUGGGGAUGGACUGGCGGCAGAUCAGCUUGGGUUGGUGGUAGUGGCUGAUCAAGUCAUUGACGGGUAACGGGCCCGUGAGGGUGACGGGCAACGUUGGGACUGGGAUAAGACACAGACUCCUACGGGAGGCAGGAGUGGGGAAUAUUGCACAAUGGGAUGAAGCAUAAUGUAGCACAGCCGCGUGGGGGAUGAGGACAUUCGGGUUGUAAACCGCUUUCGCCUGUGAAGAAGAGUGAGUGACGGUAACGGGUUAAGAAGCACCGGCUAACUACGUG
rnacentral:rRNA from 1 species